CAGGUACCACAGCAGCCGUUCCUACAAAGGGGAUAGCUGCUGCAACCAGCCCACCUGCUGUGAUUUCAGGUACCACAGCAGCUGUUCCUACUAAGGGGAGAG